rnacentral:rRNA from 1 species
UACGUAGGUGGCAAGCGUUGUCCGGAUUUAUUGGGUUUAAAGGGUGCGUAGGCGGUCUUGUAAGUCAGUGCUGAAAUAUCCCGGCUUAACCGGGAGGGUGGCAUUGAUACUGCAGGACUUGAGUGAAGUCGAGGUAGGCGGAAUUGACGGUGUAGCGGUGAAAUGCUUAGAUAUCGUCAAGAACACCGAUAGCGAAGGCAGCUUACUAAGCUCAAACUGACACUGAUGCACGAAAGUGUGGGGAUCAAACAGG